rnacentral:lncRNA from 1 species
CUACCUCUUCCUUGUUCCUCAGCACGACCUGAUUCCCAUAGGUAAUGCUUGGGCUAACUUAAUUGUUAGUAUUUUUCUGUCCACUAAAGUGCUUUCAACUCUAAGGAGCUAAAAAUCAAAUUUCUCAACUUUUCAAAAUAUUUUUAAACAUAAUAAUCUCACCACCAGAGGGCAAAGAACAAAAUCUAAAGGCAUAGGGAUAUUCACUUUCUAGACAAAUGAAGUAAACAAGGUCUUCUACUAUUUGUGUGGACAUUUUAAAAGUGUUAGAAUGCGAAGAAUCUCCAUAAGGAAGCUACUAAUUCUAAAAAUUAAUCUAUAGAUUAAGACUUCCCUGUUUGUUGAAAAGGAAAAAAAGCCUUGUUAGAUAACCAUAGUCUAAAUCUAAUGAUCUUUCUCUUUCUGACUCUUUCCAGGAUCAUUUUUUAAGAAAGAAAGAAAGAAAGAAAGAAAGAAAGAAAGAAAGAAAGAAAGAAAGAAAGAAAGAAAGAAAGAAAGAAAGAAAGAAAGAAAGAAAGAAAGAAAGAAAGAAAGAAAGAAAGAAGGAAAGAAGGAAAGAAAGGAAGGAAGGAAGGAAGAAAGAAAGAAAGAAAGAAAGAAAGAAAGAAAGAAGGAAAGAAGGAAAGAAAGAAAGGAAGGAAGAAAGAAGGAAAGAAGGAAAGAAAGAAAGAAAGAAGAAAGAAAGAAAGGAAGGAAGGAAGAAAGAAAGAAAGGAAGGAAGGAAGGAAGGAAGGAAGAAAGAAAGAAAGGAAGGAAGGAAGGAAGGAAGGAAGGAAGGAAGGAAGGAAGGAAGGAAGGAAGGAAGGAAGGAAGGAAGGAAGGAAGGAAGGAAGGAAGGAAGAAAGGAAGGAAGAAGAGAAUUAAUGCUUCAGGAGGUAGUUACUUUGGGAUUUAGAAGAAAGGCAAGAGAUAGGACAACAUUUGCCAAUUGCCUUUAAGCGGAAAGCUAAGCAGGAAUUUCCCGACUGCUUUUUAGAAGUAUUCCGCCCUUAUCCCGAAGAGCAAGGAAGGCAGCAGCACACUUGCUCCUCCAGGACCUAUGGAAUACAUCUCCGCAACUAGUAAGGUCUGCUUUUCUGUCAUCCUCCUCGAUGCCCUAUGUGCACGGGGACUACAGGACCCCGAUCAACAGGCAGAGGACCCAUUUCAAGAAAAUCGAGAGUAUUUUUAACAGGUCCUCGCAAAGGGGAUAUCGUCUGUCUCAGAUGUGGUUCAGGGAGUAGGGUGACCUUACACCGCGUAAAAUUAGGUUCUGAUUUUAAGGUCAGACUUUCUACGCCGGGUUCCCUCUGCCUACUCAUGCCGGAAACGAAUGUCCUUAGUGAAGUAAAUGACAAAUAGAAUGUAUUUCUGAUGCCUGCUGGAAUGUGUAACACAUAACUCAGUUUAUAGGCAUAGUUAAUAGAUAUAUGUUUACACACAUCUUUCCAUCUUUCAGCCAACUCGAAUCCCUAAAUACAAACUUCAGCAUUAGAGCAC